rnacentral:rRNA from 1 species
CCUACGGGAGGCAGCAGUGGGGAAUAUUGCACAAUGGGCGCAAGCCUGAUGCAGCCAUGCCGCGUGUGUGAAGAAGGCCUUCGGGUUGUAAAGCACUUUCAGCGGGGAGGAAGGCGCCAAGGUUAAUAACCUUGGCGAUUGACGUUACCCGCAGAAGAAGCACCGGCUAACUCCGUGCCAGCAGCCGCGGUAAU